GACAGAGGUGCCGAGCGUUAGGCGGAAUCACUGGGCUUAAAGCGUGUGUAGGCGGAGUUCUAAGUACCUUGUGAAAUCCCACGGCUUAACCGUGGAACUGCUUGGUAUACUGGUUCUCUUGGGCCAUCUAGGGGCUAGCGGAACAAACGGUGGAGCGGUGAAAUGCGUAGAUAUCGUUUGGAACGCCAAUGGUGAAAACAGCUAGCUGGGGAUGUGCCGACGCUGAGACACGAAAGCCAGGGGAGCGAACGGGG
rnacentral:rRNA from 1 species